rnacentral:rRNA from 1 species
UACGGGGGGAGCAAGCGUUGUCCGGAUUUAUUGGGCGUAAAGAGCGUGUAGGCGGCCAUGUAGGUCCGUUGUGAAAACUCGAGGCUCAACCUCGGGACGCCGAUGGAAACCAUGUGGCUAGAGUCCGGAAGAGGAGAGUGGAAUUCCUGGUGUAGCGGUGAAAUGCGCAGAUAUCAGGAAGAACACCCGUGGCGAAAGCGGCUCUCUGGAACGGUACUGACGCUGAGACGCGAAAGCGUGGGGAGCGAACAGG